rnacentral:rRNA from 1 species
AACCUUGCAAGUCGAACGGUAGCACAGAGAGCUUGCUCUCGGGUGACGAGUGGCGGACGGGUGAGUAAUGUCUGGGAAACUGCCUGAUGGAGGGGGAUAACUACUGGAAACGGUAGCUAAUACCGCAUAAUGUCGCAAGACCAAAGAGGGGGACCUUCGGGCCUCUUGCCAUCAGAUGUGCCCAGAUGGGAUUAGCUAGUAGGUGGGGUAACGGCUCACCUAGGCGACGAUCCCUAGCUGGUCUGAGAGGAUGACCAGCCUCACUGGAACUGAAACACUGUCCAGACUCCUACUGGAUGCAUCUGUGAGGAAUUUUACAAAGUAUGCA